GGGGGGCGCGGGGCGGGGACGGGAGCGGGGAGCGGGGAGCGGGGGGCUUGCCCUGCGGGCCACCUCCCGGCGGGCGCCGAGCCGCAGAGCCGCGGCCGCAGGGGCCUCAGGGUGCCGGUCGCCGCCCCCUCCGCCCGCGGUUCCCCGAGCCCGGGCAGGACCGAGCGGCGGGGCGCCGGCUGGACCCCGGUCCCGGCUGGGCGGGCUGCCCGACCGCGGACGGACGGACGGGGCGCGCUCCUCCGACCCGGAGCCGCGAGCUGCCGGGUCCCCACGGUCCCCUCCACCUCUUCCAAAUGCCUGGGGACUCCGCACUGCUACCUGCGAGGGGACCUGUGGGGGACCCCAGAAUAACGAGCCCUGCGGUGCUCCGUGGGUCUUACCUUCGGAGCGUCAGAGGAGGAAGAAAAGAGAGGGUCCUCGGAAACCCGCUGACAUCCCCGCUCCUUCUAGGAGCACUUGGGAUUGUUGCCAAAGAGGGCAGGAAGCCAAUCCACGGAAAUGUACUUAAACCUGUCUCUACCUUUUUUGUCUCUCUGACACACCCUGAUACCCAACCCCACCCACUCCACCGCAGCUCCCAAGGCACCAGACACACGCAAGUGGCUGAAUUCAGAAGACGAUCUCUUCCGAAAGGAAAGGCACCGUCUACAGAAAGGCAGGAGGAAGGACAGGACAUGACAAGAUAUUCUCCUCUUAGCACCUGCUUCCCACAGCCAGUAAUAGACCCUUGGAUGUCCCCAGUGAGCUUCUGCCGUUCCCUGCUCUAGAAGAGACUUGAAUGUCUUCUCUCUGAGUUCGAUGGUGUCAGAAGGCCUACAUGGCACUUUCCCUGCCUGCUUCCUUAUGAAGUGGUUCUCUUCGUCCAUGGGAGAGUGUGAUUUUCCUAAUGGAUCAGAUGCAGCAGGGCCAGGAGGACUGUGGAAUUAUUCUUGAUGCCCUUCUGAAUUCUCUAGGAGUGUGAAAGAUUCCUGUAGGGUGUUGGAAAUAAUUGAGAAGGAAGCAGGGGCGGAGAAUCCUAAAGAAGCCCUGGAGAAUUACAGUUACUUUUAAGAAGCUGAUAAAUUACUGAAUGCAAAAGAGUGAAUAAAGAGAAACAAGAAAAAGAAAAAAAAAAUCUCAAAAUCACUGGAGCUCCCCAUAACAAGCAGAAAAUUCCCAUGGAAUUGGUUAUUACAACUUCUAUAGUAGGCGCCUGAGAUCUGAGAGUUUGCCGAUUGCUCCUCAUUUUUGCGGAAUGACGAAAG
rnacentral:lncRNA from 1 species